GGAGGAAGGUGGGGAUGAGGUCAAGUCAUCAUGCCCCUUAUGUCCAGGGCUUCACGCAUGCUACAAUGGCCGGUACAAAGGGCUGCGAUACCGUGAGGUGGAGCGAAUCCCAAAAAGCCGGUCUCAGUUCGGAUUGAGGUCUGCAACUCGACCCCAUGAAGUCGGA
rnacentral:rRNA from 1 species